GACGAACGCUGGCGGCGUGCUUAACACAUGCAAGUCGAACGGUGAAGCGCCUUCCUUUUUGGUGGGUGUGGAUGAGUGGCGAACGGGUGAGUAACACGUGAGUAACCUGCCCCCUUCUUCUGGAUAACCGCAUGAAAGUGUGGCUAAUACGGGAUAUUCUGGGUCUGUCGCAUGAUGGGUCUGGGAAAGAUAUUGCUUCGGUGGGGGAUGGGCUCGCGGCCUAUCAGCUUGUUGGUGGGGUGAUGGCCUACCAAGGCGGUGACGGGUAGCCGGCCUGAGAGGGUGGACGGUCACACUGGGACUGAGACACGGCCCAGACUCCUACGGGAGGCAGCAGUGGGGAAUAUUGCACAAUGGGCGCAAGCCUGAUGCAGCGACGCCGCGUGAGGGAUGGAGGCCUUCGGGUUGUGAACCUCUUUCGCCAGUGAAGCAGGCCUGCCUCGUUUGUGGGUGGGUUGACGGUAGCUGGAUAAGAAGCGCCGGCUAACUACGU
rnacentral:rRNA from 1 species